GAGGACUUGCAGGGAAGUAGUUUGCAGUAGGGCUUUUGGAGAAGGGAUGUGUGUUUGGAGACUACAGAAGCAAGUAGCCUACAACUACUACCUAGGAGGAGGAACUGGGAGGCUGGCAAAACCAGAGAGAGAAAGGAGCCAGACAGGAAAGCCUCAGGAAAAGUAGCAGCAAGGUUCAGAAGGGGAAAGACCUUGACUGUUGAUUAGAGGGUCUCUGAACUGGAAUGUGGAGUAGAGAGUGGGCCCAGGUUUACCUAGAAGCUAUUGGGGAAGUGGCACUGGCUCGGCAGGGAAUGAGAAGACUGUCUGAGCCUGUUCCAACGAAAGGACUUUGUUAUCCCAGAAAGGGAAACUGCAUGGUGACCUGGCCAGAUGGUUAAGUCAUGAAGCCUCAGCAGCUCCUGGAGUGAGAGAUGGGGUGCAAACUCAGGAAGGGGCAUUGGUUCACAGAGUUAAUCUCCCAGAGUGGCCAGGAGGAGGUGCCAUCUAGUGAUAACAAUGUUUUCAUGGAAUGGUAUCCAGUAUAUCUUACUGCAGGAAGGAAGCAGACUGUUCUACAAAUCUAUUAUAGCCCAAUUACUGAAAAACAUAAGAGGCAUUUUGAUCGCUGUAGAGUAAUUUUCUCAAGUCACCUGCAAAACUUUUCAACUUUGUUCACUUUUUUCCAGCUUAUGAGACUUAUGAUCCAUGACAAUCCAUUUCUACUUUUUUUUUUGUCAUAACCACAGUUUUCAUGUUUUGUUUUUUUUUUUUUAAAUUAAGGAUAGUGGCUACCCUCUCCCUCUCGGGGGGGGGGGGGGACAUUUUUAAAAAAAAAAAAAAAGUGGGCUGUUUUGUUAUUGGGACAUAACAUAUGCUUUUGAGCUUUUAGAGGGCCAUUGAAAAAAGUUUUGCAAAUCCUUGUUGUGAGGGUUCCUUCAGCUGUGGACUCUUACUGGGAAAUCAAAACAGGUGAUAUUGGCCUCAACUGGAUCUUUGGCACUAUAUUCAGCCAUGUGAAGAGACACUUCCCCCAUAAUGUGGUACACCAAAGCCAAAAUAACAUUCAAAAGCAAAGCCCAGUGAAACAUUUGCUUCAUGAAUUUUGAUUCUUUCCCCUUUUUGCCCAUGGAGCAUACAUGAGUAAAAUGCAUUUAUUCAGAGAUUUAAUUCUUAGAAUGCAUUCACUUUAUUUUAUUCUAUGGAUUGAAUACAAAUGGUUCACUGCAAGUGACUAUUACUCAGUGUUCUAAAUUUAAGUAGUGUGCAUUAGGGCAGGUGUACACUUGAAACUUGCUGUGUGUUUUGGGUAUCCACAUGUAAUGUAUGUCUACAUAGCCCAUGGCUGGCCUGUGUCAGAUGAUGUGAGCAAGAUGUAGGUUUUUAGUUACAGUGCAGACAUACCCUAAGCGAUCCACGGCACAAGCAGUGCAUAAAUACCACAUUGUUAUCCCACAAUUAGGUUAUUCUUUUCUCUCGUUAUUGUGGUCAUGCAGCACAGCAGUGUUUCAAAACAAGCGCUCAGCAUUCUGGUCAGACAUCACAUGGAUCAUUUCUUUAUUGCAUUGCAAAUUGUGAGACACCUACCAGAAGGCAAUGGAAUUCUGGGACUUGAGGAUAAACUAAACUCCCCUUGAUGUCUUUCAUCCCAUCAUUCAUCUGAUUUUUACAAGCCAGCAUGAUUUUCAAAGUGCUCUGACAGCAUGGAGGAAACAUUGGCAAGCAUUGUAAUCAAUACAAAUAGGCCAUUGGAAGCAUAUCUAAACAGAACCAGGGUAAUAAGAGCACCUGAGGAGGGAGAGGCUGAACUUGAGCAGACACAUCUCCAAGAUCUCUUUCUAGAGUGGCUUCACUCCCAGAGCACCACUUUUGAGCUCAGCCAACUAGCACUGACUGGUGGGACAGGAUAGGGAUGAUCAGCACUGGUGAAGAACUUCAGGAUGUCAAAAGCCACUUUCCUAGAAAUCUGUGUAGAAUUCUUGGCAGAACUACAGCAGCAGAACACCAGCAUGUGUUGGUGCAUGGAGAGGCAUGUGGUCAUCACCAAUUGGAAGUUCACCACCUCCAAUUGCCUCAAGUCAGUAGCCAAUCCGUUUGGUGUUGGUAGAGCAACCAUCAGGGCUGUUGCCAUGGAGGUGUGCCAUUAUCGAAAAGGUACUGCUCCUCUGGAUCAUAAGGUGUGACAAUUGACAAGAGGUUAUUAAUGGUUUUGCCCGGCUGCACUGAGGCCAUUGAAAGGGCCUGUGCGCCUAUUCUUUGCCCCCAAUACCAGGCCUCAGAGUUCAUCCACAGAAAGGGUCUCCACGGUGCUGCAAGGCCUGGCUGCUCACUGUCAAUCAGUGUUUGCAUGGGAUGAUCUGGAAAUGUCCAGGAUGUCUUGGAUCUUUAGAAACUCUAGACUGUUUUAGAACUAGAAAUAGAACUUUGGCUCCCAUGCAUUCUAUGGACACAGAUGGUGUUGCCAUCCAUGCUACCAUUCUGGGGGACCCUGCAUACUAUCUGCAUCCAUGGCUUAUGAAGCCUUUUCCUCGAUAAUAGGAUGGGAGAAUGGAACUGUUCGAUUAUACCUUGACUAGUGCUAGAAUGACAGGGGAAUAUGCAUUUGGGAGACUGAAAGGCAGAAGAAAGAAUCUGGUGUCGAGGCUGGAGACUGACUAAAAGUAUUUGCCUUUUAUAGCUGUUUGCAGUGUUUUGCACAAUCCUGGUGAAAUCAAAGGGGAGAGCCUUUCAGAUAGAUGGGGGGAGGAGAAGGCUGGUUGACCUGCUGAAUGUUUUGAAAAGCCAGAGAAGAUUUCUCUAAGAAAUGUUACAACUACUCAGGGCAGAGCCGUAGCGGUUCCCUGUCCACUGCAGCAGCAUGGGGAGCCACUAGGUAACUCCCCUGCCACUACCGGGACUGUGUGGGGCAUACCCCUUGCUGCCGGCAGCUAAGAGCUUGAGGACACUGCUGCCUCAGGCAGUGGGAAUACCUCACAGCUCCCUGUCACUGCAGGAGGCUGUGAAACCCUGCAGCUCCCAGCCACUAGGGGAUUAAGUCCCGGAGGUCUUUGGAAGUCACGGAUUCUGUGAGUUCUGUAACCUCUGACUAAAUCAUAGUCUUAAUUAUGAUUACUGCACACACAUUGUGUGUGCAAUGGUGCAAAGCUUUUAUCAUGCUUCAUGUGGGGAUUCUAACAUGGUGCAUGUAUGAAUCUUGUAGUGUAUGUGCAGGUGGCAUUUUCAUGGGUUUUUUAAUGGAUUUGUGUACAGGACAUGCAUUUUCAUGAAUUGUUUAAUGAUUGUUGCAUAAAUUAAUGCAUGGAGAUUGACACUCGUGAACUGUUCUAGUUGUAUGACUGAAGACCUUUUCAAUGAAUUUUUAAUAAAUACACCAAUUUAAA